GCCAGUGUGGUGUAGUGGCUUGAGUGCUGGAUUAUGACUCUGGUGAACAGAGUUCAAAUCCCUGCUCCGGCA